UACAGAGGGUGCUAGCGUUGUUCGGAAUCAUUGGGCGUAAAGGGCGUGUAGGCGGUUUGUUAAGUCAUGUGUGAAAUCCCUCGGCUCAACCGGGGAACGACGCAUGAAACUGGCAAGCUAGAGUACCAAAGAGGGGGUGGAAUUCCCGGUGUAGCGGUGAAAUGCGUAGAUAUCGGAAGGAACACCAGUGGCGAAAGCGGCUUCCUGGUCCAGCAUCGACGUUCAGGCACGAAAGCGUGGGGAGCAAACAGG
rnacentral:rRNA from 1 species